rnacentral:rRNA from 1 species
GACGUAGGGCGCGAGCGUUGUCCGGAUUUAUUGGGCGUAAAGAGCUCGUAGGCGGCUCGUUGCGUCAACCGUGAAAACCCGGGGCUUAACUUCGGGCUUGCGGUUGAUACGGGCGGGCUGGAGUUGGUAGGGGAGACUGGAAUUCCUGGUGUAGCGGUGAAAUGCGCAGAUAUCAGAGGAACACCGGUGGCGAAAGGCGGGUCUCUGGGGCCGA